rnacentral:rRNA from 1 species
AUGUUCCGCCGCACCUCCAGCUGCCCGCAUUUUACUAGUCCUCCUCCAACCCCCUCCCCCCAGCAGCGGCGAAGGCAACAAGGAGCCGACGAGGCGACCGUUGCCCCGUUGUCGCCUCCAGCUACCCCCACCCACCCGCCCGCCCGCACGCCACGCAGCCGCCGCCCGCCGGCCACCGGAUUCGCCCUCUCUCCCUCUCCCUCUCAGGACAGUGGUUCUGAGGAAAAAGAGUCGAUCUUUGGCAGGGGCUGGAUUCAGCCGGGCGUCGGCGGCUGUUCUUGGCGCCGUCGACCCGCGGCUCGGAGUUCGCCAGAGGGAAACGCCGCGUUCUUUGCCGGAUUUGACCCGGGGAAUUCGCUGCUUUUUUAA